AGAGUUUGAUCCUGGCUCAGGAUGAACGCUGGCGGCGUGCCUAAUACAUGCAAGUCGAGCGAACGGACGAGAAGCUUGCUUCUCUGAUGUUAGCGGCGGACGGGUGAGUAACACGUGGAUAACCUACCUAUAAGACUGGGAUAACUUCGGGAAACCGGAGCUAAUACCGGAUAAUAUUUUGAACCGCAUGGUUCAAAAGUGAAAGACGGUCUUGCUGUCACUUAUAGAUGGAUCCGCGCUGCAUUAGCUAGUUGGUAAGGUAACGGCUUACCAAGGCAACGAUGCAUAGCCGACCUGAGAGGGUGAUCGGCCACACUGGAACUGAGACACGGUCCAGACUCCUACGGGAGGCAGCAGUAGGGAAUCUUCCGCAAUGGGCGAAAGCCUGACGGAGCAACGCCGCGUGAGUGAUGAAGGUCUUCGGAUCGUAAAACUCUGUUAUUAGGGAAGAACAUAUGUGUAAGUAACUGUGCACAUCUUGACGGUACCUAAUCAGAAAGCCACGGCUAACUACGUGCCAGCAGCCGCGGUAAUACGUAGGUGGCAAGCGUUAUCCGGAAUUAUUGGGCGUAAAGCGCGCGUAGGCGGUUUUUUAAGUCUGAUGUGAAAGCCCACGGCUCAACCGUGGAGGGUCAUUGGAAACUGGAAAACUUGAGUGCAGAAGAGGAAAGUGGAAUUCCAUGUGUAGCGGUGAAAUGCGCAGAGAUAUGGAGGAACACCAGUGGCGAAGGCGACUUUCUGGUCUGUAACUGACGCUGAUGUGCGAAAGCGUGGGGAUCAAACAGGAUUAGAUACCCUGGUAGUCCACGCCGUAAACGAUGAGUGCUAAGUGUUAGGGGGUUUCCGCCCCUUAGUGCUGCAGCUAACGCAUUAAGCACUCCGCCUGGGGAGUACGACCGCAAGGUUGAAACUCAAAGGAAUUGACGGGGACCCGCACAAGCGGUGGAGCAUGUGGUUUAAUUCGAAGCAACGCGAAGAACCUUACCAAAUCUUGACAUCCUUUGACAACUCUAGAGAUAGAGCCUUCCCCCUCGGGGGACAAAGUGACAGGUGGUGCAUGGUUGUCGUCAGCUCGUGUCGUGAGAUGUUGGGUUAAGUCCCGCAACGAGCGCAACCCUUAAGCUUAGUUGCCAUCAUUAAGUUGGGCACUCUAAGUUGACUGCCGGUGACAAACCGGAGGAAGGUGGGGAUGACGUCAAAUCAUCAUGCCCCUUAUGAUUUGGGCUACACACGUGCUACAAUGGACAAUACAAAGGGCAGCGAAACCGCGAGGUCAAGCAAAUCCCAUAAAGUUGUUCUCAGUUCGGAUUGUAGUCUGCAACUCGACUACAUGAAGCUGGAAUCGCUAGUAAUCGUAGAUCAGCAUGCUACGGUGAAUACGUUCCCGGGUCUUGUACACACCGCCCGUCACACCACGAGAGUUUGUAACACCCGAAGCCGGUGGAGUAACCUUUUAGGAGCUAGCCGUCGAAGGUGGGACAAAUGAUUGGGGUGAAGUCGUAACAAGGUAGCCGUAUCGGAAGGUGCGGCUG
rnacentral:rRNA from 1 species